rnacentral:rRNA from 1 species
UACGAAGGGGGCUAGCGUUGCUCGGAAUUACUGGGCGUAAAGGGCGCGUAGGCGGCCACUGCAAGUCAGUUGUGAAAUCUCCGGGCUUAACCCGGAAAGGUCAGCUGAUACUGCAGGGCUGAGGAGUGCAGGAAGGGCAACUGGAAUUCUCGGUGUAGCGGUGAAAUGCGUAGAUAUCGAGAGGAACACCCUGCGGCGAAGGCGGGUAGCUGGGCCGACACUGACGCUGAGGCGCGAAAGCUAGGGGAGCGAACGGG